CAUAAACAAACCUUAAAACAUGAUUUUUGAAGUUGAAACUUAAAAAAGAUGUCUCCACGUAAUUUUCUCAAGUUGUUAUAUAGAUACUAGAAAAACUGCAUCUUUCUGUAUAUUUAUUCAUUUUGUAUUAGUAAUUUAGUGAGUCCAAAAUUAAUCAAAGAAUUGUGAAUAAUUCAUUUUCAAAAACAAUUAUCUUCAAAGCUGAAACAUUAAACAUCAAUAUAAUUAAAAUUUCAGUUAUUAAUAAAAUAUAGUCAAUAAAAAAAUCAUGAAAUUGAAAAACACGCCCAAAAAUAUUUAUUGUUAAUAUAGACCACAAAUUGAAGCCGCGAAAAUCAUGAAAAAAAAACUGAAAUAUCUGUGCGAUGCACACAAAAAUCGUAUAUUAGAGAGAUAAGAACCUGAGAAAGUUGAUUGGGUGCGAAAGAGGCAGAGAGCGCCAUGCUUCAUUUCCCCAUCACAUCAAAUUUCAACCGGAUCUUCACACGAAUUUAGUAUGUAUUUCUAUGGUGGUGAAGAGUAUGUAUAUAUACGCGUGUGUAUAGAGCGAGAUAGAGAGGCUUGAAGGGCCGGUAAGGGAUUGAAAUGGAGGGAAACAAAGUAGAGAGAGAAUGAGGCGCACUGAAACAAGGCAAAUGAAGUACAGUAGAUCCACUACUAUACUCUCCAAUUUCCAAAUACAGGUGGUGUAUAUAUGGAUCGGUGGAGCUAUUUUUGUUUGGAGUUGGAUUCAUCAAUGUUGUUGCCACACCAUUCUUGUAAGAUUUAUUUCCGAUUUGUUUUUCAAUAUUUAGAUUUUAUCUCUACAUUGUGGAUUCCUAGUUUAUUCAUCACCUAAAGGAUAAAAGCUGCACACUGAUUUUGUGUUU